UACGGGGGGGGCAAGCGUUGUUCGGAAUUACUGGGCGUAAAGGGCUCGUAGGUGGUCAACUAAGUCGGACGUGAAAUCCCUCGGCUUAACCGGGGAACUGCGUCUGAUACUGGAUGGCUUGAAUUCGGGAGAGGGAUGCAGAAUUCCAGGUGUAGCGGUGAAAUGCGUAGAUAUCUGGAGGAACACCGGUGGCGAAGGCGGCAUCCUGGACCGGCAUUGACGCUGAGGCGCGAAAGCCAGGGGAGCAAACGGG
rnacentral:rRNA from 1 species